UAUACCCUGGUAGUCCACGCUGUAAACGAUGUCGACUUGGAGGUUGUUCCCUUGAGGAGUGGCUUCCGGAGCUAACGCGUUAAGUCGACCGCCUGGGGAGUACGGCCGCAAGGUUAAAACUCAAAUGAAUUGACGGGGGCCCGCACAAGCGGUGGAGCAUGUGGUUUAAUUCGAUGCAACGCGAAGAACCUUACCUACUCUUGACAUCCAGAGAACUUAGCAGAGAUGCUUUGGUGCCUUCGGGAACUCUGAGACAGGUGCUGCAUGGCUGUCGUCAGCUCGUGUUGUGAAAUGUUGGGUUAAGUCCCGCAACGAGCGCAACCCUUAUCCUUUGUUGCCAGCGGUUCGGCCGGGAACUCAAAGGAGACUGCCAGUGAUAAACUGGAGGAAGGUGGGGAUGACGUCAAGUCAUCAUGGCCCUUACGAGUAGGGCUACACACGUGCUACAAUGGCAUAUACAAAGAGAAGCGACCUCGCGAGAGCAAGCGGACCUCAUAAAGUAUGUCGUAGUCCGGAUUGGAGUCUGCAACUCGACUCCAUGAAGUCGGAAUCGCUAGUAAUCGUGGAUCAGAAUGCCACGGUGAAUACGUUCCCGGGCCUUGUACACACCGCCCGUCACACCAUGGGAGUGGGUUGCAAAAGAAGUAGGUAGCUUAACCUUCGGAGGGCGCUA
rnacentral:rRNA from 1 species